UACAGAGGGUGCUAGCGUUGUUCGGAUUCAUUGGGCGUAAAGGGUGCGUAGGCGGCGCGGUAAGUCGGGUGUGAAAUCUCGGGGCUUAACUCCGAAACUGCAUUCGAUACUGCCGUGCUUGAGGACUGGAGAGGAGACUGGAAUUUACGGUGUAGCGGUGAAAUGCGUAGAUAUCGUAAGGAAGAUCAGUGGCGAAGGCGGGUCUCUGGACAGUUCCUGACGCUGAGGCACGAAGGUCAGGGGAGCAAACGGG
rnacentral:rRNA from 1 species